AUCGUCUCAGUUCGGACUGUAGUCUGCAACUCGACUACACGAAGCCGGAAUCGCUAGUAAUCGCGAAUCAGAAUGUCGCGGUGAAUACGUUCCCGGGUCUUGUACACACCGCCCGUCACACCAUGGGAGUCGGAAAUGCCCGAAGUCAGUGACCUAACCGAAAGGGAGGAGCUGCCGAAGGUGGAGCCGGUAACUGGGGUGAAGUCGUAACAAGGUACC
rnacentral:rRNA from 1 species